rnacentral:rRNA from 1 species
GUAAGUUCACGCCACGCAUUAGAACGGGCGAAACCGCGAAUGGCUCAGGAACCGGACCUAAUCCUCGGGACCGUAAUCCUCCUCGGAGGCGAUGGAUAACUGUGGCAAUUCUAGAGCUAAUACAUGUGACACAGGCCGCGAUCGGUCGGCGCGUCGUCGUCGCCUUCGUGCCGUCACGCGCGUGGGCACCCGCGUCGACCGUUACGGGUCGCGGCGCUACAUAUUAGACUGAGACCGAUGCGCGUCAUUCCGUCCUCUCGUCGUCGUCGCCGUCGUCCUCGCGGCGCUCGGUGUGCGGCGGCGGGGCCAAAGGGCGGCGCGCUCCGCUUUGGUGACUCUGGAUAACUCACUGGUCGAUCGCACUGGCUUUUACGCCUGGCGACGGGUCUCUCGAGGGUCCGCCCUAUCAACUGUCGACGGUCGGUUAAGUGCCUACCGUGGUUACUACGGGUAACGGGGAAUCGGGGUUCGAUUCCGGAGAGGGAGCAUGCGAAACGGCUACCACAUCCAAGGAAGGCAGCAGGCGCGCAAAUUACCCACUCCCGGCACGGGGAGGUAGUGACGAAAAAUAACGACGCGGGACUCUGUCGAGGCCCCGCGAUCGGAAUGAGUACACUUCAAAUCCGUUAACGAGGACCAACCGGAGGGCAAGUCUGGUGCANNNNNCACCGUCGUCGUCGUCGUCUUUUCCCGUCCGUCGUGCGGUCGCCUCCUCUUCCCUCCCCUCCCGCGUUUCCUGCGGCCCUGCUCUACCUUCCUCCGCGUCCAUCUUCGCGUCUGUUCUGCGCGCGUGCGCGGUCGGCGGUUUCUCCUCCAAGGGUGCUCUUGACCGAGUGUCCGCGGCGGCCGGUACGUUCACUUUGAAAAAAUUAGAGUGCUCAGAGCGGGCUGUUCAAGCUUGCAUACGAUAAGCAUGGAAUGAUGGAAGAGGGCCUCGUCUACGUCUGUCGGUCUCCGUCUACGGCGAGGCAAUGAUCGAAGGGAGCGGUCGGGGCCACUCGUAUUGCGACGUUAGAGGUGAAAUUCUUGGAUCGUCGCAAGACGAACUGCAGCGAUGGCGUGUGGCAAGCACGUUUUCCUCGAUCAAGAGCGAAAGUCGGAGGUUCGAAGACGAUCAGAUACCGUCGUAGUUCCGACCGUAAACGAUGCCGACCGGCGAUCCGCCGGCGUUCGCUUCCAUGACCCGGCGGGUAGCCUGCGGGAAACCAGAGUUCGGUUCCGGGGGGAGUAUGGUUGCAAAGCUGAAACUUAAAGGAAUUGACGGAAGGGCACCACCAGGAGUGGAGCCUGCGGCUUAAUUUGACUCAACACGGGAAAACUCACCCGGUCCGGACACCGGUAGGAUUGACAGAUCGAUAGCUCUUUCUCGAUUCGGUGGGUGGUGGUGCAUGGCCGUUCUUAGUUGGUGGAGCGAUCCGUCUGGUUGAUUCCGAUAACGAACGAGACUCCGGCCUGCUAACUAGUGCGCCGAUGUGUGUGUUCAUUCAACGGCGGGCUCGGCGUUCAUCGCAGCGCCCGGGUCCGGGUCGGUUUUCUCACGCACUUCUUAGAGGGACGGGUGGCAGAAAGCCACACGAGGCGGAGCGAUAACAGGUCUGUGAUGCCCCUUUAUGAUGUCCGGGGCCGCACGCGCGCUACACUGGAGGUAUCAGCGGGGACUUCGCCCCGGCCCGAGAGGGUCGGGAAACCUCUUAACCACCUCCCGUGAUAGGGAUCGGGGCCUGUAACCAACCCCGUGAACGAGGAAUUCCCGGUAGGCGCGGGUCAACAGCCCGCGUCGAUCACGUCCCUGCCCUUUGUACACACCGCCCGUCGCUACUACCGAUCGAACGGUCCGGUGAGGUCCUCGGAUCUGGCCGACGACGCCGCCGGGCAGCGUGCUCGUGCGUCUCGCGCGCGCGGGCCGUCCUCGCCUCGGCGUUCGAUGCCUGGAGAAGACGACCGAACCCGAUCGUUUAGAGGAAGUAAAAGUCGUACA